rnacentral:tRNA from 1 species
GAGCACUUAGCUCAGCUGGUUAGAGCGUUCCCUUGACGUGGGAAAGGUCACAGGUUCGAAUCCUGUAGUGCUCA